GUAACACGUGGAUAAUCUUGCCCUUCGAUGGGGAAUAACUCCGGGAAACCGAAGCUAAUUCCGCAUAAUAUUCCGAGAAACUCCGGUUUUUGGAUUCAAAGGCGUAAGUCGUCGAAGGAGGAGUCCGCGCACGAAUUAGCUAGUUGGUGAGGUACGGUCACAAGCAAUGAUCGGUACCGGACUGAGAGGUUGGCCGGCCACACUGGAACUGAGACACGGUCCAACUCCUACGGGAGGCAGCAGUGGGGAAUCUUGGACAAUGGGCGCAAGCCUGAUCCAGCCAUGCCGCGUGAGUGAUGAAGGCCCUAGGGUUGUAAAAGGCUCUUUUGUGCGGGAAGAUAAAUGACGGGUACCGCAAGAAUAAGGCCCCGGCUAAACUUCGGUGCCAAGCAAGCCCGCGGGUAAUACGAAGGGGGGCUAACGUU
rnacentral:rRNA from 1 species